CAUCCACUUUCUGUUAUUAAUUUCCAGGAGCAGAAAAUGUUCAAGCCGCUCAAAAAUAUAUAUCAGGCUUGGAUGCAAGACGAUUAUCAAAGCUUCCUGAACACAGUGAUGACAGUGAAGAUGGUGAAGAUGACUUGGUGACUGGCUGAUAAACUGGUUGUGAGCUAAUAUAUUUCAGUUCUUUUUAUAAUAUCCCUUCAAUAUUGGGAUCUUUAAGAGACUCAAAGUUCAACCAAAAUUUCCGUUCCUUGUCAGUGUCAGAAGAAAGUACUACACAUCUACACACACACACACACACACACACACGCACCUUAUCCUCAAUUGGUUCCUUUCUGUGUUGUAUUUAGUCAAAAUUUAUUGCUGAGAAUUAUUUUGACCUUGUGGGAACUUUGAGGGAGCUCCCAUUUUUGUACAAAUUUUGUAGAAUGAUGAAAUUUUUUACUGCUAAUAAAAAUUGUAAUGUUUUGGAUA